GGCGACAGUUGUCUCGCACUUUGACUGCUGGCUCUGUGUUGAAUCCCUCCGGCGCUGCGGACGCGGCGGCACAGACGAGGGACGUGUGGCUACAAAAGCCUCGUGAUUUUCAUUGAACGUGUCACAUUUCUCAGCCCGGAGAAGCAACAAAUCAUCUUUCAAAAUGUUGCGUCAGGAUUGCGCCGCUCUUUAAACGAUAAUUUUCUCUUAAACACAGAGAAAUAUUUAUUGUGUUUUAGAGCGUCGGUCUCUCCGGCUAUCAACAAUUAUCUCUGCAGGGUUUGGGGUCAUUAAUCUCCAGAGGUGGAAGUUUAUGCCUUAAAAAGCGGGCGAGGCGAAGGUAGAGAUGAAGGGUGAGGACAAGGCUUGAUGGCAUGAUUAGGUUCCCAGUUUUUCUUUUCGUAGUUGUUGGUGUUUUCCGCCUGCGAUUCCAGUUGUAGAAACAAUUAGAAACUGUUCUAUAGGUUUAUUUUUGUCGCUCUGAAACUGGGUCACAGUUGGAAUUCAUUGCUAGUGCUGUGAAAUCAGUCGCCAUCUUCAGUCAAGGAGACGCUCAGAUCGGCCCGUUUUCCAGCGUGCAGUGAUUCCUGUUUGACAUUCAGAACAAAUGAAUAGUAUUCAUGGUAUGUUCCACAUUUGUCUCCUUUCAGGACAGCAUGUAUUUCACCUUCCAGCUGCCACGAGCUGCUAGCGAAUCCACCGUUGCUUCUCCUGGAGGUCCUUAUUCUGCUUUGGAUAUGGAGCUCAAAGACCCGUCUGGAUUUCAAGACCUUUACCCACAACCACUCCAGGCCCUCAGCCCGCCUUUGCAGGUUCCGAGAGCGACCGUGACCUCCCCAACGCGCUGCCUCUCACCCGUUCUGGCCUUCCCCAAAAGGGAGAACCGGAGUGGCUCGGAGCGACCCAGGGGGGUCAGCAAUGUCGUGUGUGCCGACAGCAGCGGCUUGUUUUCACACAGUCUCCUGCAGGAAGUCAAACCGGAUGACGCGCAGCACAAGGCAAUGAAUUCAGGAGAAGGUGACUACAAGUCUGGUGGCUCCAGCAGUUCUGACUAUCUUAAAAUCAUGAAUCUACCUGAGGAGGAUAAAGAGGCGCUACAAAUGCUGGCCAGUCUCAGAAGGGAGCAGGAGGAAGAUGACUGCGGAGCCUCGAGCCUCGGCGGGCCUGUCGUCCGACAGUGGGACAUCAACACGAGCUUUGAGGAAUCUCUGUGGAACCCCAGCUCUACGCCAAACAGCAAUGUGGACUAUGAUGAGGAAAUAAACACCCUGCAAUUAAUGUCCAGAGAGUGGAUGGAUGCGCUCAGACCUCCUGCUACGUCUCCCAGCCAACAGAGAAGGUCAGGCACGACACGGACCAGUCAGGAAAAUCUAAUCAGAGCGUACAGGAGCAUGAUGGAGAAGAAGGACAGCGAGGAGGAGGACAAAGAGGAGGAUGAAGAGUUAGAUGAGGAGCAGGAAGAGGAGGAGGAGGAUGAGUUCGAGGAGGAGGAAGAGGAUGAAGAGUUAGAGGGAGAAGAGGAUCUUCAAAGCUGAGCUAUGAUCCUUGUUCAUGUAUUACCAACUCGCUGAAUGUGAAGAUCAAAAGAAGCCACAAAGCAACAAAAAAGGGUUAAAAAAUGUGUUGGUGAUUUUGUUAUAAGGGUGGUGACAAGAGUGUUUCUUUCCAUGAAAAGUGUUGGGUUAUUGUUGAAAAAGGUGGACGUCUGUAGCGCCACUGACUGUCUGUUACAUCAAGAUGCUUUUCAUUUGUCCUAACAAAAAUUAAAGGUUUGAAGGAAAACCCAAAGGCUUUGUUUAAGUUAUUUUACACAGGUGGAGCUCAUGGACAG
ensembl:lncRNA